rnacentral:rRNA from 1 species
CCUACGGGCGGCUGCAGUGAGGAAUAUUGGUCAAUGGACGCAAGUCUGAACCAGCCAUGCCGCGUGCAGGAAGACGGCUCUAUGAGUUGUAAACUGCUUUUGUACGGGGGUAAAUCCAGAUACGUGUAUCGGGUUGAAAGUAUCGUACGAAUAAGGAUCGGCUAACUCCGUGCCAGCAGCCGCGGUAAUACGGAGGAUUCAAGCGUUAUCCGGAUUUAUUGGGUUUAAAGGGAGCGUAGACGGCUUGUUAAGUCAGAUGUGAAAGUCCGCGGCUCAACCGUGGAACUGCAUUUGAUACUGGCAGGCUAGAGUACAGUUGAGGUAGGCGGAAUUCGUGGUGUAGCGGUGAAAUGCAUAGAUAUCAGGAAGAACACCGAUUGCGAAGGCAGCUUACUAAACUGCCACUGACGUUGAUGCUCGAAAGCGUGGGUAGCAAACAGGAUUAGAUACCCCUGUAGUC